rnacentral:snoRNA from 1 species
UUAAAAUGAUGUUACUUCAUAGUAUAGUUCAUUAGAAUUCCACAUGUUACAACGUUUUCGAAGCUGAUAUUGUCUUCAAAUAAGCUUCAGACGUCCCACCAUAGAAAAUCGUAUUAAUUUAUUAUAUUUCUUGCAGCUUCAAUGAUUUGCUUUCCACCAGCCAUACAAUG